UACGUAGGGGGCAAGCGUUGUCCGGAAUCAUUGGGCGUAAAGCGCGUGUAGGCGGCUCGACAAGUCCGCUGUGAAAGUCCAGGGCUCAACCCUGGGGUGCCGGUGGAUACUGUCGAGCUUGAGUCCGGAAGAGGCGAGUGGAAUUCCUGGUGUAGCGGUGAAAUGCGCAGAUAUCAGGAGGAACACCAAUGGCGAAGGCAGCUCGCUGGGACGUGACUGACGCUGAUGCGCGAAAGCUAGGGGAGCAAACAGG
rnacentral:rRNA from 1 species